ensembl:lncRNA
CCACUUCAACAUUGUAAAUAAACCGGAAGCUGUCUGCCUCUGACCUUGAGAAAAAAAUGUGAUGCGAAGUCACACCAGAGCAGGCAGUAAAAGUUGAGAAAGAGACACGACAACAGGUAAAGUCAAGGCUGUGGUUUGACAUGAGGGCUGGUAGGGUGACGGCAUCCAGGUUCAAGUCAGCUGCAAGGACAGACCCUACAAAUCCUUCCAAAUCCCUAAUUAGGCAGAUCUGUUACCCUGACCUAUCCAGAUUUUCAACAGUUGCAACCAGAUGGGGAUGUGAACAUGAACAAAAAGCCAGAGAGACGUAUGAGGCUUAUGCUGCACAACAGCAUCAGGACCUGAGUGUUUGUGACGCCGGUCUCCACAUUGAUCCCUCCCGUCCCUACCUUGGAGCAUCUCCAGAUGCUUUGCUGUCCUGCUCCUGCUGUGGCGAUGGCAUUUUGGAGAUCAAGUGCCCACACUGUGCCAAAGACACCGGAGUCCUCAGCGCCUCUGAAAAGAAACAUUUGUGAGUUGAGAACACAGAUGAUACAUAUGCACUUAACAGAGAUCAUCAGUACCACUACCAGGUGCAAGCCCAGUUGUUUGUGACGAGACGGAAGUUCUGCGACUUCAUGGUGUGGUCUACAUCCAAUUUUUUUCUUACAGAGGAUUUUGCCUGAUGCAGACUUUUUUACAGAAGCAGUGCAGAAUGUCGAGGCCUUCUAUAGGUCAGCCAUUUUAUCUGAGUUAUUGGCCAAGACACAUACAUGCCCAGAUAGACCGCUGUCAGACAAAACACAGUCCACAGACUCACAAGAAUUAGAGUAGUAGGGAUAACUAUAUGCUUAACCCUUAUUAUUUUAGUUUUUGAAGUGUUGUUAAUAACAAAGUGUUUAUGAAGAAUAAUUAAUAUGAUUUAAAUUUUGGUUGUGUGUAUGUAUGUAUAAUCAAACAACAGUACUCGUUACAUUUUACAUGUAAUAUUCAUUUAUAAAGGAAAACAGCAUGGUCAAAAGUUUGAGGGCUGUUUUUUUUUUUUUAGAAAAAAACCUUUCAACACGUUUUAAAAACCAAACCAAAAUUACGUCUUUACACCCAUAUAAAAUUUCCUUUUUAACUUUUGUCCU